CCCCUUUUCUUGAGCCCGGCCGGCAACUAUAUUCGGUGUGUCGGCGCAAGCCGACUAUGGCGAUAAACGGUCAGUGCAAUAAGCCUAUCGGACCCGGGGGCGGUACCCGGCGCCUCCACCCAAAUCCGUGGCGAACCGAACGCAUUCGGGAAGUCGCGGAUUUCGGCGGGGGCGAAAUAGGAUCGACGAGGGUGUAAAGACUGUGCUUUCGCUCGGCAUGGUUCCGCCGAUAUCGGGCCAUCUUUAUAGUUGCCAACGACAACUAUGCUAUGGACAACGCUGUCGCCGCGUAAUGCGGUGCCGGUAGUCCUUUAAGUCCUGUCGGGUAGCACCGGCAGGCGGGGUUCGGAGGCACCUGGCAACAGAAGCCUCCACU
rnacentral:tmRNA from 1 species